UACGUAGGCAGCGAGCGUUGUUCGGAAUUACUGGGCGUAAAGAGUGUGUAGGCGGUGCUCCCAGUCUGUUGUGAAAUCUCCCGGCUUAACUGGGAGGGUGCAGCGGAAACUAGAGUGCUAGAGGGUGGGAGAGGUAAGCGGAAUUCCUGGUGUAGCGGUGAAAUGCGUAGAUAUCAGGAGGAACACCUGUGGUGUAGACAGCUUACUGGGACCACUUCUGACGCUGAGACACGAAAGCGUGGGGAGCGAACAGG
rnacentral:rRNA from 1 species